rnacentral:rRNA from 1 species
GAAAGUAGGGGAUCGUAAGACCUUGCGCUUUUGGAGCGGCCGAUGCCUGAUUAGCUAGUUGGUGGGGUAAAGGCCUACCAAGGCAACGAUCAGUAGUUGGUCUGAGAGGACGACCAGCCACACUGGGACUGAGACACGGCCCAGACUCCUACGGGAGGCAGCAGUGGGGAAUUUUGGACAAUGGGCGCAAGCCUGAUCCAGCAAUGCCGCGUGAGUGAAGAAGGCCUUCGGGUUGUAAAGCUCUUUCAGUCGAGAAGAAAAGAUUGUGACGAAUAAUCACAAUUCAUGACGGUAUCGACAGAAGAAGCACCGGCUAACUACGUGCCAGCAGCCGCGGUAAUACGUAGGGUGCAAGCGUUAAUCGGAAUUACUGGGCGUAAAGGGUGCGCAGGCGGCUUUGUAAGUCAG